AGUAUUCUCCCUGAAUAAAAGUUCUUGCGCUCUGGAAGGCUCAAUCCCCUGUAUCACUCACAGCGAGUCCAAAAUAGUAAGCAACCAAUUAUCGUCCAUGUAAACCCAUCAAGCAAUCUCAUCGAACGUUCCCAAUGAAAGAUCACCCAACACUUAAAUACAUACAUCCCUACUCUAUCAAUUUUAAGGGCACAACCGUCUAGUCAUCCUCCUCUCUUUCCCGCUUUGUUCUACUCGUAAAAGCCUCUUCCUUCCUCGUUAAACCUCAUUUUUGAAAACCCCUGUUUCCUUUCUCUAUCCGCGGAAUUACAGAUCUAGCUUACCAUUACCGAGUCGAAAUUAUCCAACUGGGGCCAAUUCAAAGCCCAGACAUUUGUUGUUGCACGAUAAACCUAGGAUUUGGAUUGUUUCUGAUUUGCCGCCGGAAUAAUGCCUAGUGUUUACGAUAACUGGGAGAGGCUGGUGAGGGCCACCUUGAACAGUGAACAACUGAGAACUGCUUUCCAAGGCUAUGAGAGAAGUCCUAGCGGCAUUGCCGGAACUGUGCCACCUUCGCUCCGAACAACCAACAUUGAUGCCAUCUUA
rnacentral:misc_RNA from 1 species